AUGAGCAUUUUGUAUUGUUGGCUACAAAUGUCCAACUCAGGAUCCUUGAAAUUCUGGUUUAUUAGGCGGAUUGAAACACUGUAAUGAAGUCAAAUCAUAAGCCUUGGAACUGGUCCUCUCACACACAAGUGAGGUACAAAGGUGUGUGGGGGGGAAGGCAUCAGAGUCAGGUAUACCUAUCCCACAAGCACUGGGGUCUGCCGUUGAUGGACAGUCGAGGCUUCUUCCAGCAUGGUGUUAUCCUCCAGAAGGGGGUCACCGCCUGGUCCUUCUGGCUGGACAGGUCAGGUGCUGGUCAAGUAGGAGAUCAAGAGGGCACUGCCGAGGGUCACUUUUCACUGCUUUUUAUCUGUCCUUGGCAGACUUUGGCAACUCCCCGGUUUUCAGUUUGCCCAAUCCAGGGGUCGUUGACCCUCGUGGGACUUCCCCCUCGGUGGCUAUUGGAUGGCAUCUGUCAGCCCCAGGGGUAGUCUGUUUGUACAUGCAGGUUUGAGAGUCUGUUGAUGAAUUUUGAUUAAUUUACUGCUGUCAUGAAUAGGGCUCUGGGAGCGGUCGAUCUGGAGAUAUUCAGCCCCAAAAGUUAGGACCCGGCAUUGAUUAACUCAGACCGGGGCUUCUAGUAAAGUUUAGAGAAUUCCUGGUUGCUACAUUGUCUCCUAUUGAUUUCUUCCAUUGGUUGAUCUGUGGGUUCCGUAGGUGUUAAUUGCUGCUUGUUACUGAAGCCUGCUACCGUGUUAUGAAUUCGAUCACUGAUUCGCUUGCUCUUUCAGGGGCCCGCCUGAUAUGGGGAAAUGGCAGUUUGAUUCCCACCCUUGUUAACAUUGUUAGUGUAUAAUUUACUUCUAAAACUAAAAACACAUUUAGUUAAAAAGGUGAAGAGUAUAAAAUAUAAGCUACAGGAGUAAUGUCAUGGCACACAAAUAGAUAAAAAUGCCAAAAUACAAGGGGAGAUA